UGCCCCUGUGGGAAACAUUAGAUGAUGCUC
rnacentral:piRNA from 2 species